AGCAGCCGCGGUAAUUCCAGCUCCAAUAGCGUAUAUUAAAGUUGUUGCAGUUAAAAAGCUCGUAGUUGAAUUUCGGGGUCAGUAGGUUGGUCGUGCCACCGGUACGUACUGGUCUCACUGAUUCCUCCUUCCUGAUGAGCUGUAAUGCCAUUAAUUUGGUGUUGCAGGGAAUCUGGACUGUUACUUUGAAAGAUUAGAGUGUUUAAAGCAGGCUAACGCUUGAAUACAUUAGCAUGGAAUAAUGAAAUAGGACGUUCGAUCCUAUUUUGUUGGUUUCUAGGAUUGACGUAAUGAUUAAUAGGGUAUAGUUGGGGGCAUUAGUAUUCAAUUGUCAGAGGUGUAAAUUCUUGGAUUUAUU
rnacentral:rRNA from 1 species